rnacentral:rRNA from 1 species
GAUGAACGCUGGCGGCGUGCCUAAUACAUGCAAGUCGAGCGAACGGACGAGAAGCUUGCUUCUCUGAUGUUAGCGGCGGACGGGUGAGUAACACGUGGAUAACCUACCUAUAAGACUGGGAUAACUUCGGGAAACCGGAGCUAAUACCGGAUAAUAUUUUGAACCGCAUGGUUCAAAAGUGAAAGACGGUCUUGCUGUCACUUAUAGAUGGAUCCGCGCUGCAUUAGCUAGUUGGUAAGGUAACGGCUUACCAAGGCAACGAUGCAUAGCCGACCUGAGAGGGUGAUCGGCCACACUGGAACUGAGACACGGUCCAGACUCCUACGGGAGGCAGCAGUAGGGAAUCUUCCGCAAUGGGCGAAAGCCUGACGGAGCAACGCCGCGUGAGUGAUGAAGGUCUUCGGAUCGUAAAACUCUGUUAUUAGGGAAGAACAUAUGUGUAAGUAACUGUGCACAUCUUGACGGUACCUAAUCAGAAAGCCACGGCUGACUACGUGCCAGCAGCCGCGGUAAUACGUAGGUGGCAAGCGUUAUCCGGAAUUAUUGGGCGUAAAGCGCGCGUAGGCGGUUUUUUAAGUCUGAUGUGAAAGCCCACGGCUCAACCGUGGAGGGUCAUUGGAAACUGGAAAACUUGAGUGCAGAAGAGGAAAGUGGAAUUCCAUGUGUAGCGGUGAAAUGCGCAGAGAUAUGGAGGAACACCAGUGGCGAAGGCGACUUUCUGGUCUGUAACUGACGCUGAUGUGCGAAAGCGUGGGGAUCAAACAGGAUUAGAUACCCUGGUAGUCCACGCCGUAAACGAUGAGUGCUAAGUGUUAGGGGGUUUCCGCCCCUUAGUGCUGCAGCUAACGCAUUAAGCACUCCGCCUGGGGAGUACGACCGCAAGGUUGAAACUCAAAGGAAUUGACGGGGACCCGCACAAGCGGUGGAGCAUGUGGUUUAAUUCGAAGCAACGCGAAGAACCUUACCAAAUCUUGACAUCCUUUGACAACUCUAGAGAUAGAGCUUUCCCCUUCGGGGGACAAAGUGACAGGUGGUGCAUGGUUGUCGUCAGCUCGUGUCGUGAGAUGUUGGGUUAAGUCCCGCAACGAGCGCAACCCUUAAGCUUAGUUGCCAUCAUUAAGUUGGGCACUCUAAGUUGACUGCCGGUGACAAACCGGAGGAAGGUGGGGAUGACGUCAAAUCAUCAUGCCCCUUAUGAUUUGGGCUACACACGUGCUACAAUGGACAAUACAAAGGGCAGCGAAACCGCGAGGUCAAGCAAAUCCCAUAAAGUUGUUCUCAGUUCGGAUUGUAGUCUGCAACUCGACUACAUGAAGCUGGAAUCGCUAGUAAUCGUAGAUCAGCAUGCUACGGUGAAUACGUUCCCGGGUCU